UACGAAGGGUGCAAACGUUGCUCGGAAUUAUUGGGCGUAAAGCGCACGUAGGCGGCUUUGCAAGUCGGGAUGUGAAAUCCCUCGGCUUAACCAAGGAAGUGCAUCCGAAACUGCAGAGCUUGAGUACUUAAGAGGAUCGCGGAAUUCCCGGUGUAGAGGUGAAAUUCGUAGAUAUCGGGAGGAACACCAGUGGCGAAGGCGGCGAUCUGGGGAAGAUACUGACGCUGAGGUGCGAAAGCGUGGGGAGCAAACAGG
rnacentral:rRNA from 1 species